rnacentral:tRNA from 1 species
GGAGGGGUGGCCGAGCGGUCGAAGGCGCACGCUUGGAAAGCGUGUGUAUCCCAACCGGAUACCGGGGGUUCGAAUCCCCCUCCCUCCG